GAUGAACGCUGGCGGCGUGCCUAAUACAUGCAAGUCGAGCGAACGGACGAGAAGCUUGCUUCUCUGAUGUUAGCGGCGGACGGGUGAGUAACACGUGGAUAACCUACCUAUAAGACUGGGAUAACUUCGGGAAACCGGAGCUAAUACCGGAUAAUAUUUUGAACCGCAUGGUUCAAAAGUGAAAGACGGUCUUGCUGUCACUUAUAGAUGGAUCCGCGCUGCAUUAGCUAGUUGGUAAGGUAACGGCUUACCAAGGCAACGAUGCAUAGCCGACCUGAGAGGGUGAUCGGCCACACUGGAACUGAGACACGGUCCAGACUCCUACGGGAGGCAGCAGUAGGGAAUCUUCCGCAAUGGGCGAAAGCCUGACGGAGCAACGCCGCGUGAGUGAUGAAGGUCUUCGGAUCGUAAAACUCUGUUAUUAGGGAAGAAUAUAUGUGUAAGUAACUGUGCACAUCUUGACGGUACCUAAUCAGAAAGCCACGGCUAACUACGUG
rnacentral:rRNA from 1 species